rnacentral:rRNA from 1 species
GAUGAACGCUGGCGGCGUGCCUAAUACAUGCAAGUCGAGCGAACAGACGAGGCGCUUGCUCGUUCGACGUUAGCGGCGGACGGGUGAGUAACACGUAGGUAACCUACCUAUAAGACUGGGAUAACUUCGGGAAACCGGAGCUAAUACCGGAUAAUAUUUCGAACCGCGUGGUUCGAUAGUGAAAGAUGGCUUUGCUAUCACUUAUCGAUGGACCUGCGCCGUAUUAGCUAGUUGUUAAGGUAACGGCUUACCAAGGCAACGAUACGUAGACGACCUGAGAGGGUGAUCGGCCACACUGGAACUGAGACACGGUCCAGACUACUACGGGAGGCAGCAGUAGGGAAUCUUACGCAAUGGGCGAAAGCCUGACGGAGCAACGCCGAGUGAGUGAUGAAGGUCUUCGGAUCGGAAAACUCUGUUAUUAGGGAAGAACAAACGUGUAAGUAAAUGUGCACGUCUUGACGGUACCUAAUCAGAAAGCCACGGCUAACUACGUG